AGACUCUGUGCGCGUGCAUAUCAAUAAGCGGAGGAAAAGAAACUAACAAGGAUUCCCUUAGUAACGGCGAGUGAAGCGGGAAGAGCUCAAAUUUGAAAUCUUCAAGGUUCUACCUUGACGAAUUGUAGUUUAUAGAAGUGUUUUUCUGUUAGUGGAGUGGCAAAAGUUCUUUGGAAUAGGACAUCAUAGAGGGUGAGAAUCCCGUAUUUGGUCAUUCCUCCUAGCGUUGUGAUACACUUUCAACGAGUCGGAUUGUUUGGGAAUGCAGUCCAAAAUGGGUGGUAAAUUUCAUCUAAAGCUAAAUAUUGGCGAGAGACCGAUAGCGAACAAGUACCGUGAGGGAAAGAUGAAAAGAACUUUGAAAAGAGAGUUAAACAGUACGUGAAAUUGUCAAAAGGGAAGCGUUUGACACCAGUGUUGUUUUUUCCGAAAAUCAAUUACGAAUGUUUUGUUUUUGAGGAGUUAUGACUUCAUCGGCUUGCUCCUUUCUUUAUGAAACUUUCUUAAUGCACUUUUCGGUUAACAAGUCAACAUCAAUUUCUUUUGUUGUAAAAGGGUAUGAGGAAGGUGGCUUUCUUUUCGGAGAAAGUGUUUAUAGCCUUGUGCCUCUGCAAUCGGAGAGAUUGAGGUCUGCAGCGUAGAUCCUUCGGGGUUAGAUACGUUUGUGCUAAGUUAUAGCUUUUCAUAGACAACUUGUUGAAACUAUGUUUAGUCUUGUAGCUUACUCGCUGACGCUAUUUUACCUACGCUUAGGAUGUUGAUCUGUAGUGCGUGCGC
rnacentral:rRNA from 1 species